ACUCCUACGGGAGGCAUCAGUCGAGAAUUUUUCUCAAUGGGGGAAACCCUGAAGGAGCGACGCCGCGUGGAGGAUGAAGGUCUUCGGAUUGUAAACUCCUGUCAUUGGGGAACAAGGUGCAUACGUUAACUGCGUGUGCAUUGAUAGUACCCGAAGAGGAAGAGACGGCUAACUCUGUGCCAGCAGCCGCGGUAAUACAGAGGUCUCAAGCGUUGUUCGGAUUCAUUGGGCGUAAAGGGUGCGUAGGCGGCGCGGUAAGUCGGGUGUGAAAUCUCGGAGCUUAACUCCGAAACUGCACUCGAUACUGCCGUGCUUGAGGACUGGAGAGGAGACUGGAAUUUACGGUGUAGCGGUGAAAUGCGUAGAGAUC
rnacentral:rRNA from 1 species